AUACGGAGGGUCCGAGCGUUAUCCGGAUUUAUUGGGUUUAAAGGGUGCGCAGGCGGCCAUUUAAGUCAGCGGUUAAAUCGUGGGGCUCAACCCCAUUCUGCCGUUGAUACUGGGUGGCUUGAUUGCGGUCGAGGUUGGCGGAAUUCGUUGUGUAGCGGUGAAAUGCAUAGAUAUGACGAAGAACACCGAUUGCGUAGGCAGCUGACCGGAUCGCAAAUGACGCUCAUGCACGAAAGUGCGGGGAUCGAACAGGAUUAGAUACCCUGGUAGUCCGCACAGUAAACGAUGAAUACUUGUUUUCGGCGAUAUAAUGUCGGAGGCAAAGCGAAAGCGAUAAGUAUUCCACCUGGGGAGUACGCCGGCAACGGUGAAACUCAAAGGAAUUGACGGGG
rnacentral:rRNA from 1 species